rnacentral:rRNA from 1 species
AUUGAACGCUGGCGGCAUGCUUUACACAUGCAAGUCGAACGGUAACAGGCCGCAAGGUGCUGACGAGUGGCGAACGGGUGGGUAAUGAAUCGGAACGUGCCCAGUCGUGGGGGAUAACUAAUCGAAAGAGUAGCUAAUACCGCAUACGAUCUAUGGAUGAAAGCGGGGGACCGUAAGGCCUCGCGCGAUUGGAGCGGCCGAUGUCAGAUUAGGUAGUUGGUGGGGUAAAGGCUCACCAAGCCAACGAUCUGGAGCUGGUCUGAGAGGACGACGAGCCACACUGGGACUGAGACACGGCCCAGACUCCUACGGGAGGCCGCAGUGGGGAAUUUUGGACAAUGGGCGCAAGCCUGAUCCAGCAAUGCCGCGUGCAGGAAGAAGGCCUUCGGGUUGUAAACUGCUUUUGUACGGAACGAAACGGCUCUGGUUAAUACCCGGGGCUAAUGACGGUACCGUAAGAAUAAGCACCGGCUAACUACGUG